rfam:Legionella waltersii strain ATCC 51914 Lwal_ctg031, whole genome shotgun sequence.
GGGCAAGAUAGGUGAAGUUAGCUAACCAGCAAGCUGGUUAUCAAAUCUCACAAGUAUUAUUCGCACCUUCGGUGCUCAACGAAAAAUCGAUGCUUCUAGUUC